rnacentral:rRNA from 1 species
UACAGAGGUCUCAAGCGUUUGUUCGGAUUCAUUGGGCGUAAAGGGUGCGUAGGCGGCGCGGUAAGUCGGGUGUGAAAUCUCGGAGCUUAACUCCGAAACUGCAUUCGAUACUGCCGUGCUUGAGGACUGGAGAGGAGACUGGAAAUUUACGGUGUAGCGGUGAAAUGCGUAGAUAUCGUAAGGAAGACCAGUGGCGAAGGCGGGUCUCUGGACAGUUCCUGA